AUGACGAUUUUUGCUAUGGUCUGGGAAUGCAGAUAGCUAAGACAACAGGAGGUAAUAUAAAUGCAUAAAACAGAUGGUGAUAUAAAUGCAUAGUAAAAUUUCUCUACAACAACACUUAAUAUGAAACGGAGGAAGUAUAUGUUACUCAAGCUUUAGAAAUCUUUAAGUGAUAUAAAUGCAUAAAACAGAAGUAGCACGAAUAGAUCAAUGUCGCUGAUAAUUAGAAACAAAACAAAUCCAUAAGAAAGAAAAUUAAACCACAAGAUUCAGAAAUGGUCUAGGCAUCAGACUUCAGCAAAAAUAAAUAUAAAAACAAAGAGAGCAAAGACCCCGCGAUCAGCCACGGAUUUAUUGCCGAAACAUCAGAUUCUCAACAUGGUUUGGGAAGGUGAAGACUUCACCAUGGUGUGCAGCUGGAUCCAUAAAGACCUUCUCUUCAAUUCCUUGGAUCUCAACUCUUCUAACACUCUUUCUCUCCACAUUGUAAUAGUAAACAUAGAAUGGUUUCUUCCAACGCCACUGCGCCCAAACAACUUCACCUGUAUCAGUUCCCCAGACUGAUUUUAUGUUCCAGAAAAUCAUAUCUGGGAAAUACAAGAUAUAUGCUUCGACCAUUUCCCUUUCUCGGUAUCAUAUAGAACCCAUAAUUGAUUAUUGUCACUAUAAUCACGGACUAAGACACCUAACUUUCCCUUGUAGUUUAUCAACGUCCAAAAGUUGAAAUCUAUUUGUAUAAACCUAAACUUUUCAGACUUAACAUUAAAGCAUGCUAUCACGUUAAUAAAGUUGUUAUGAGCUGCAUAAUACAAUAUCCCGUUGAUGCAUAUCCCCUUUCUGUAGUUCUGAGGAAAAUGGGGAAACUCACAUUCUAUCUUUCUCUAUGAUGGGUUUCCUUUCCCUAGCGUCAAGAUGUGAUGUUCUCUGGAGUUUAUUUGUCUUCUAUACUUUGUUACGGUCAUGCACAAAACAUUGAAUUGCUUCUCAAUAGGAUCAUACCCAAGAAAGCUUCUUAACUCAUUAUUCUUAGCUCUCACUUUAGGUAGAGGUAUUUUCUGACCCGUGCUAGGGUUACAUAGCACAGGAACCCUUUCCAUCUUUCCCUUUAGCAUCUGCUUUUCGUAAAGAUAGACAAAACCGUUGGCGGAUAGACAAAACCGUUGGCGGAUAGACAAACUUCUUUGUACCAAUCUCCAGAUACACCCAUAUGAUAAUCCGGUGCUACAACACUUAUGUUCUCAUUAAAAUGAAGCUGAGGGGAUGAAAAGAAGUGCCACUUGCCUUUGAAUUCAAACGUGAACAAAAGUUGUGGCCGAGUGGAUGAACUCGUCAGGAACGAUUUUGCGAAAUGUGGACUGCUAAGUAUGGAAUCCCAUUCCUUCGAGACACAUCGACAUAGUGCAAUGGCUUUUGCUGGUAUUCUCUUGAGGAUCUCGAUGAUGAGAUCGAUGGGAAGCGUCUCCGAGUUUACUCCUACAUACGUUGAAGAGUUUUUUGAUGAUUGUGUGUGGCCUUUGAUGAUUUUAAGGUGUUUCACCGGAUUGUUGUAUUUCUCUAGGCUCAUGACGAUUUUUGCUAUGGUCUGGGAAUGCAGAUAGCUAAGACAACAGGAGGUAAUAUACUAUAGGCUUAUCGAAAAACAUAUCCUGAUAUUUUACAUUAUAUUUUUAAAAUCUUUAGUUUCCUUUUCUUUUUAAUAUGGAAUCUUAAGUAUCCUAUUGUGUCUUUUAUUUUUCCACCAUUCAUGAACCAAAAUUUGAAUUCAUGUGGCAACAAAUAUUCUUUUUAGUACCAUAAUCUUAUUAAGAUGUUGAAUUCUCUACUUGUUAGUAAAAAGAAAAUUACAUUUUAGUACAUUAAUAAACCAUUGACUUUUACUGUGAUGACGAUAAGUCUGGGAGAAAGAGGUGAGUGGAGGAUUGGCACUGAAAAUGGAUUUAGCGGAUGGAAGAUUCAGAAAGAAGAUUGGUGGAUGCCGAUUUGAAAAUAUGCUAUCAAAGUUGAUGAAAGACGGAAAAAAAUUAUCCUCGGAGUGAAGGACCUUGUAUAUAAGAGCGGUGGGCUUCUGUGGAGGAUCCGACGUCGAUAAAGGAUGAGAAAAGAAGGAUAAACUAAGACAUCAUCAUCUGGAAAUUGUUGGGGUCAAAAUCGGUAAUGACGAAAUCAAUGUCAAAAAGUUCUCGAGAAACCUUUUUGUAAAAAAAUUAAAAAUAUGGAAAACUAAAACUUCGUAUUUUUAAGAGUAUUUGCAUGACAAGGUCCUCGGAAGGGAUCAUUUAAUCUCUCGAAUAGAUGUUGCCAAAGCAUCAAGACAAGCAAACCAGCAUCGUACGACCCGCCAUCGGGCAAAUUGGAUUAGCCAAGUCUAAAUCACCAUUGAGAGUUCCGGAGACGACAAUGCAUGGUGUGGGACUGACCCAACUCGCCCACAUCCAAUCCAACUCAACAUUGGGCGAGUUGGAUGCAUCAUGUCCAACUUGCCCGAUGGCGAGUUGGAUCAGUCUUGUCCAAUUCUCCAUUAAGUGAGUUGGAUCAGUCCCACACCAUGCAUUCUCAUCUCCAAAACUCCCUCUUUCGGGUCUCGGUCAAACUGUCUCUUGUUUCGUCCCGAUCGGAGUUACCGUUAAAACUUUACGAUAAAAACAACGAAGACUUAUUUUCUCAUAUAAGUUCGGAUCGAUCGUAUAAAAUGAUAACGCUUAGCUUAAUAUAAUGGUUAUCUGAGAUAUACUACUGAUUUCCGCUAUCUCGUAAAAUCGACGUCGUACUAAAGGCAAAUUCGGAGAUAAAUGUCAAGUUUCAAGGGAUAAUCAUCAAGAUCGGAAAAAAUAGAAUAUUCCUGCGAUAAGAUAAACUCGGCCCAAGGGCAGAAAAGGAAAGCCCAGACUGACCUAAAAGGAGUAUAUAAGGGACACGAAAGCGACAUGCGCAAGAGAGAACUUUUACACACACAGCAAACUUAGCACUUAGAGCAAUAUUAGGCAAUUUUCUGUUUUUGUUAUCGAGCUGCGACUCAACUAGGUUUUCAAGUCUUAGGUGGUUAGAACUAGGAACUCGCCAGCAGCUCUUACGACCAAGGUUUUACCUGUUGUAAACGCUUAUACACAAAUUUGGAAUAAGAUCUUCUUUGCUCUCUUUUUACUUUAUUCAAGUUAUCAUUUUCGUCUGUUUAUUUAUCUGAUUGCUUGAGGUUUGGCUUAGCAGAAAUCCGGGACCUCUGGGAAAUUUAGGAUUUCCUAACUUUCCUAAUUUUAUGGAAAUCGACUGUGCGAAUUUCGGCACCCAGAGAAAUCUUGGGUUUUAACUCUUUUUAACAGUGUUCUUCUCCAGGUGGAAGAGCAAUAUCAAUUGUAUACAAAGUAUAACUUGCUCUGACAAACCAUAUUCUUUCAAAAAGGUGGCAAUACGUAGAUAAGCUUCGGUCACUCUUGCUUCUUGGCAUGGUCAAAAACUCACAGCUCACAAGGAGUAAGAUGAUAGAGCUCAUCUCUCUAUGUAAGUUCUGUUUCUCAAGUCUACGUAAUCUUUAUGUGAUAUGAAUGGAUAAAAAGCAGUACUAGCAUGAAAAUAUUAAUGAGAUCAAUGUCGCAAAGAUUUAUGAAACAAACAAAAAAUCAAUAAGAAUAAAUCUUAAGAGCAUGUCCAUCAGUGGGAUGGACGUGAGUUUCUCAACUCUUAGAAGAAAAAAAAAUGAGAGAGACUGUCAAAAAGUAUCUAGAGAUGUUUUUAGAACUCUAUUUGAAACUGCUUUGUCAAAUGUCAUUAUAGGAUUAGUUAGAUUUCUGCUAUCACUUAAAUUUUAAGUCAAUAAUCUAUUUAAAUCAAAAAAAUUAUUAUUAUAAAUUUUAGAUACAUAUUUACGUUUCUAAACAUUUAGAUAUGUUCUUAGGACAGCCUUAACAGCAGUAUAUAACCAGUAUCUAUGUAUUAAACAAAUUAAAAAAUUGUUAAAUGUGGAGAGAGAACAAAAAUAAAUUUCCUUUUUACAUCCUCAACAAAAAAAAAUUGCGAUACUUUGACAUUAUGUGUCAUUCCAUAAUUGGUUUUACUUUCUUUAUCUGUUUUAAAAUUUAACCAUUAACUGAAUUAUAGUAAAAUAUUAAUAUUUUACAUGUUAGAUAUCCUUGUUAGAGCAGCUCCAACCAUAAUAUUUGGAAGGAGUUCUAAAACUUGAAAGAAAAGAUAAAAUCAGAAAAAUAAGAGGGAGAGUUAGAAAAAGUUUUCAAAAGUAAGACUUUUUAGGACCUCUUAGGAAACUAAAGCAAGAGAUGUCACUUUUCUAAUUUUUUAAAAGUUCUAAAAAUAAAUAUAUAAUUACAUGAUUAGCAUACUAAUAUAUAUUUUUUCUUUUAGAACCCUUCAGCACUUCCACCGUAUAUGUUGCUCUUAAUAUACUUAUGGUUGGACAUGCUCUUAGACUUCAGAAAAAAUAAUAAUUAAAGUCAAAUAAAUACCGUGAUCAGCUACGGAUUUAUUGCUGCAUCAUCAGAUUCUCAACAUGGUUUGUGAAGAUGAAAAUUGGUUCAAGGGCAUCUCGACACAUCAAUUUCUCUUCAAUUCCUUUGAUCUCAAUGCUUCUAACAUUUUGUCUCUCCACAUUGUAGUAGAAAACAUAAAAUUGAUAGGUCCAAGGACUUGGCGCCCAAACAAUUUCGCCCGUAUCAGUUUCUCAGAUUGAUCUUUUGGCCAUGAAAGCUCAAACUGGCAAACAAAAACUACGCUUUGACCAUUUAUUGCUCUUGUUAUAAUAAACGUCACCAUCAUCAAAGACAAGGGCACCUAACUGUCUCUUGUAGUUUAUCAACAUCAAGAAGCUAAUCAACACAGAGCUCUCUUCCUCUAUUUGUAAAAACCUAAAUUUCUCAGACUUAACAUCAAAGCAUGCUAUAACGUAAGUUAACUUGUUAAGAGAAAUGUAACACAAAAUCCCGUUGAUGUAUAUCCCGUUUUGGUGCAUCUCAGGAAAAUGCAGAAACCCAAUUUCUAUCUUUCUCCACAAUAGUUUUUAUUUCCCUAACGUCAAGACUUUUACUUUGAUGAUGACAAGGAUAAGAUUAGGAGGAGGAGGUCAGUGUAGGAUUGGCGCUGAAAAAGGAAUUAGUGGUGUUUGGAAGAUUCAUAUCGAAUAUUGGUGGAUGCCAUGAAAUUAAAUCGACCUCGGAGUGAAGGAACAUUGGAGUGGAUAUAAGAUAAAAGUAGCAUGAAAAAAAUCAAUGUCGCUGAUAAUUAAGAAAGAGAACAAAUCCAUAAGCAAGAAAAUUAAACCGCAAGAUUCAGAAAGGGUCUAGGUUUUUGACUUCAGCAAAAAUAAAUAUUUAAAAAAAAAGAAUAGCAAAGACCUUAUCGUCAAUUCCUUGGAUAUAAACUCUUCUAACACUCUGUCUCUCCACAUUGUAAUAGUAAACAUAGCAUGGUUUUAUCCAAGGCCAUUUCACCCAAACAAUUUCACACGUAUCAGUUCCCCAGACUGAUUUUAUGUUCCAGAAAUGCUUUGACCAAUUCCCUUUCUCGGUAUCAUCUAAAACCCGUAACUGAUUAUUGUACCUAAAACUAUCAUCUAAAUCCCUAAAACUAACAUUCAAUCCUAAAACUAACAUCCAAAACUAUCAUCUAAAUCCCUAAAACUAACAUUCAAAUCCCUAAAUCCAACAAACUAACAUAAAAAUAAUUUAACGAUCUAAGCUUAAUACAAAAACUUACCUGAUAGAAGGAUAGGCAAGAAAGAGGGGUAAUUUUGAGUGUGUUAUUGAAGAGAGAGAGAGAGAGAGAGAGAGAGAGAGAGAGAGAAUCGAAUGCGAGAAGGAAAAGAGAUCGGAAAAAUUAACUUUUAAUAUUUUUUUGAUAGACACGCAUCCGUUGGGAAUCCAUCAUGAAUUUUUGCUUUAUGAUGUUCUCAAAAAUAUUCCCGCUUUCUUUUCCAGCUAAAUUUUUGAGAUUACAGAUGGAUUCUCGACAUAAGACAUAUUCCCUCGCGAAAUCAUCGAAAAUAUUAUUUUCAGCCAACAAUACCAUAAACCUUGAAUCGCACUACAGGAAAUGUGGGUAGUAAUAGCGGACGGAAAACGCUAUGAGUCAAGUAUAAUAGCGUUUCCUUGUCCGCUCUGACAGCGCCCGUUAUAAUAGGUUCGACCCUUUUAAUAGCUGUUUUUCUUUGUGCUAUAAUUAAGCGUACAACAAUAGCGCGUUUAUGUUGGCAAAUGUUAAUAUUUAUAAUAAUGUUACAGGAAAUGUGGGUAGUAAUAGCGGACAGAAAACGCUAUGAGUCAUGUAUAAUAGCGUUUCCUUGUCCGCUCUGACAGCGCCCGUUAUAAUAGGUCCGACCCUUUUAAUAGCGGUUUUUCUUUGUGCUAUAAUUAAACGUACAAUAAUAGCGCGUUUAUGUUGGCAAAUGUUAAUAUUUAUAAUAAUGUUGUACCAAUGUUAUUAAAACCUAAUAAUUUGAUUUUCCCAAUAACAAAGAUAGCAAAUGUUUCUGAUGGGGGAAGGAAAAGAGAUCGGAAAAAUUAACUUUUAAUAUUUUUGAUAGACCCGCAUCCGUUGGGAAUCCAUCAUGAAUUUUUGCUUUAUGAUGUUCUCAAAAAUAUUCCCACUUUCUUUUCCAGCUAAUUUUUUGAGAUUACAGAUGGAUUCUCGACAUAAGACAUUCCCUCGCGAAAUCAUCGAAAAUAUUAUUUUCAGCCAACAAUACCAUAAGCCUUGAAUCCACUACAGGAAAUGUGAGUAGUAAUAGCGGACGGAAAACGCUAUGAGUCAUGUAUAAUAGUGUUUCCUUGUCCGCUCUGACAGCGCCCGUUAUAAUAGGUCCGACCCUUUUAAUAGCAGUUUUUCUUUGUGUUAUAAUUAAGCGUACAACAAUAGCGCUUUUCUGUUCGCAAUUGUUAAUAUUUAUAAUAACGUUGUACAAAUGUUAUUAAAACCUAAUAAUUUUAUUUUCCCAAUAACAAAGAUAGCAAAUGUUUAGUGUUAUUAAUUAGUUUUUAAAUAAUCAGAAAAUUUAUUAAUAAUAAUUAUGAAUUGAUUUUUUUUGUGAUAAUUAAUUCAAAAAUUUGUAAUAAAAAGAAUAUAAAUUAUUAAAAAUCCAAAAAACUAUAUAAUUAUUUAAAAACCCAUACCACAACAAUAUCACAUUCAUACAAACCAUCACACAAACAUACAACCUAUCAAUCUACCACUAAUAAACCUUCACAAUCAGCCCUAACAUAAACACUAUCAUCAUCCGAAGCUUCAUCACCCAUAUCAUCAACUUCUUGGACAGGCAAAGGUGCACCACCUAAAUCCUCUUCUGUUUCCAACUCAUGAUAACCUCUAGGUGGUGCUCUCAUAACAACAUACCAAUUUGAAUGAUCAUCCUCCCUAGAGUAGAAAACCUGUUUCGCUUGAGAAGGUAGAAUGAAUGGAUAUUUCAAAUAGGCUGCUUGGUUCAUAUGAAGGUUAACAAGAGUGAAGCCAUCUUCUUCCUUCACACCAUUCCAUGUGUUUGCCCAGUUGCAUCUAAACAAUGGCACUUUGAACAUGUGAUAGUCGAUGAGUAAAAUAUCCUUUAUCACUCAAUGGUAUGUAAGCAUAUCAGCGGCCUGUCUCAUAUCUCGUGCACUUGAUCUACACAUGCUAAAGGCUUCAUAGGUUACUCCACUGUUUUGUGUCUUCAGCUUGACCGCAUCAGUAUGAAACCGUUGCCCAUUAAUGAUGAAUCCUUUAUGUCCUAAAGCAACAUUUCUUGCUCCAAAUGCCAACCACCUUAUCUCCUUAGAAUGACUAUCCGUUGAGUUUGAAUGAAUCUGCCGCAGGAAAUCAGAACAUGAUCAUGAAGCCAGAGGUCGUAAAAUGAUAAUCAAAACAUUAUAAUAUGUACCACGAAACCAAUCAUCAAUCUACAAGCUAACCAGUCAUCAAAAUACUAAAAUCCAGACAAGUUCAUCAAGCUACAAGCUAAUCAGUCAUCAAGACACAAGCUAGCCAGUCAUCAAAAUACUAAAAUCUGGACAUGUUCUUCAAUCCACAAGCUAACCAAUCAUCAAGAUACAAGCUAACCAGUCAUCAAAAUAUAAGCUAACCAGUAUUUACAAUAAUAAUCAAGAAAAGAAGAUGGAGUUGGAAACCUUAUUUUUAGGCCAUUCUGCAAGGUGCUCAGUAUGGUUUUUCCAUAACAAAGUUUCAUUUCUAGCAAAUCGAGCAUCCUUAACUUGUAACUCUUCCAAAUGCAUCCUGAUUUUAAAUUAAACAACAGUAUAUGAAAAUGAAAUUAUAAGUAAAAAUAGUAGAUGAAACAUAGAGAAUAACUUACUCAAGAAAGAGAUCCAAAGAUGCCAUGUUCAUUAGCACAUAACGAUGUGCAAUGUCUCUAUCUUUAUCUGAAAGGGCAACCUCUAUACCCUUAUGCAGAGGUUGGCCUUCAACCACCAUUCUGUCAGCCUCAACAUCUUCAUUACGAUUAACUGCUUCUUGAACUGGUACUGAAUCUUUAAGGAACUCUAAACAAAAUGCAACGCAUUCUCAAGCUAAAUACGCCUCAGCCAUACAUGCUUCUGGCCUUGCAUAAUUCUUAACAAAAGUCUUUAGUGUUUUCAUGUACCUAUAACUCAAGUCAGGAAAUAUGAAUUAGUAAAACAUCAUUGCGGGAAAUACAUAUAUUGAAGCAAAUGAGUACAUCAAACCUUUCGAAGGGAUACAUCCCGCAGAAGUGUACUGGUCCUCCCAAGCGUAUCUCUUUUGAUAGAUGUAUUGGAAGGUGGAACAUGAUAUCAAAAAGGGCUGGAGGGAAGAAGCGCUCCAGUUGACACAUUGUUUCCACAAACUCUGUCUCCAUGGAUAUAAGUUUCUCCGGGUCAAUGAUGCGCUGACACAACCUGUUUAAGUAACUGCAUAAUCUAUUUAUGGCUAUCCUAGGACCCCUAUGUAACAACCCUCUUAAUGCAGCUGGUAACAAGUUCUGUACUAGGACAUGAUGAUCAUGCGACUUUAAACUACCAAUAUUUGGAGGGUUAACUGAAACACUAUUCGCAAUAUUGCCACAAUAACCAUCAGGACCUCUACACUUAGCUAACCUUUGGCAGAAAAUGGUCUUCUCUUUCUUCGAUAACCAGUAGGCAGCAGGAGGUAAGUAUGUUUUCUUUCCCCUCACUUCUGUGUGCAAGUGCUUUCGGAUUCCAAUAUCUUCUAAGUCUUUUCCUGAUUCAACCCAUCUCUUGACUUCGCACUUUGCAUCAAGAGAGACAAUAUAGCAUCCGAUACAUUCUUUUCUACGUGCAUAACAUCAAUAUUGUGACGAACAAGCAAAUCCUAACACAUUAAACAAGAAACUGUUAGGCAUAUUCAUAUACAACAAUCACAUAAUAUAGGUCAGUUAAUUACUAUACUUUACAUUCCAGUAAGGUAGUUCAAAGAAUAUUGAUCUCUUCUUCCACCGCCAUAGUUCAUUUGAUUCUUCACACUCUUCUUCUUGAACCCUCUCAUCAUCUUCCAACUCUGGUCUUUUCCUUUUUUUUCCUUCUCUAGAGGUCUAUCAAAAUCAUUCCUAAAAGCUUGUAGUGUCUCAUAUAUCUCAGGCCCAGUUUGUAUCAUAUUUGCAUUCCCUUCCUCCACAGUGUUGUCAAACCAAGUUUUUUUAUAUCUGUAACGAGGGCCAGGCGGUAAUCUCUUUCUGUUUCCCAUGUAGACAAACUUGCAGCUAAACUUAAACCACCUUGCAGGUGUAUCCUUUCCACAUACAAUGCAGGCUUGUUUCCCCUUUACUUUACAUCCAGUCAGUGUUCCUAAGGCUGGAUAGUCACUGAUACUCCAAAGCAGCAAGGCUCUGAGUUUGAAAUUCUCCUUCGCAAAUGAGUCGUACACUUCAAUACCCUAAGCCCACAAAUCUUUUAGAUCGUCUAUCAGUGGUGCUAGGUAAACAUCUAUGUUAUUACCAUGCGCUGUUGGACCAGGGAUUAACAAUGUCAACAUUAUAUUCUCAGCCUUCAUACACAUGGUUGGAGACGUGUUAUAGUUCACUAACAACACUGGCCAUGUGUUGUGAUUGGUGUUUUGCAUGGAGAAAGGGUUCAUCCCAUAUGUAGAAAUCCCAAGUCGAAAAUUCCUUGGAUCAGCAGCAAAGUCUGGCCAUUUAUCAUUCACGUGUGCCCAAGAAAUAGAAUCAACGGGGUGUUGCAUUGUACCAUCUUCAGUGGCAUUGGUAUAGUGCCAACGCAGAUCUUCAGCCAUCCUUUUUGAUCUAAACAUCUUCCUAAAUAUGUUCUUGAUUGGAAAAUAUCUAAGGACCUUUGCUGGAAUUCCGACCUUUAUCUCAUUACUGUGCUUAUCCAUUUCUCAUCUUGAAACUUUGCAUUUUGGACAGCUUUCUAGGUUCUCACCUUCCUAUACAGUAUGCAAUCAUUCUUGCAAGCAUGAAUAUUGUCGUAGCCGAACCCAAAGAUCUUCAGAAAUUUCUUGAUUGCAGCUAAACUCUUGGGAAGGAUAUUGUCUUCAGGUAGCAAAUCCUCAAGUAAAACCAACAGCUGAUCAAAGUAGUUCUCCGACACACCACUUUUAACCUUGAAUCUGUAAAGUCCCAUGAUAGCUGAAUCCUUCGUGUGUUUGAUACAAUCCGAGUACAAUGGCGUUUGAGCGUCUCUUAGCUUUUUUCUAAACUCAGUUUCCUCUGGUGCUUCAUCAUCUUCAUUUGUCACUACCCCAUUGUCAGUUGUCUGAUUUGGACCACCUUCAUCCAUAGAGAAUGCUGUCUUAAACAAAUCAAAUGCCUCCGCUUCAUAUUGAAGAACACUGUCUUCUGCAGAAGAUUUUUUUCACCAUGAAUACUCCAACAAGAACUCUUAUACUUCUUAUCCAUACCCCUAAUCACCAAAUGCUCCACAAUUUUAUCCAGUGAGUGAUGGCUUAGAUUGCUGCAGUCUCUACAAGGGCAUAACAUUUCAAACAGACUUCCCAAUAUUCUUGCUGAUGAAUUCACGAAAUUAGUUGCUCCUUCUGAGUACUCGUGACUAUUCCUACAAGAAUCAGACAAAAGAAGUUAGCUUUCUUUCAAUCGGCGAGUACAAGUGAGCUCGAGAGAUUUUAGGUUAUACCUUGGAAGCCAAAUCCACGUCUUAUCCAUUUGAUUUCUUUUAAUCGGCGAAUACAGGAACAGCUAGUGUGAUUUUAGCUCGAGAGAUUCAUUUGCUUUCUUUAGGGUUUGUUCAAAUCAAAGCUCGCGAGACAUAAGGCGAGAUGUUGUGUUCUGAAAUUUUCCAACGCAAACAGAGACAAGAAAAAUGAAAGGUUGUGAUCAAAGUUAUGGAGAUAAAACGAACGGUGUAGGAUUAAUCAGAGUGUAAACUUAGUGGUUGCUCCUCAUUGGCUCAGAAAAGAGCGGCUCAGAUCAAAGUUACCAAGACGAAUCAAGAGUAUUAAUUUUGUUUGAAAUUGCCACGUCUACAAUCUUGGAGGUUACUCCUUAUUGGCUCAGGGUAUUAAUUUCGUUUGAAAUCUGAAAAUUAACAUAUAAAAUAGGAUAUUAAGCAAAAAUAUAUAAAUUAAAUCUUAAAAAAUAAAAUAUUAGUAUUCGAAUUUUUAAAAAGUUAUUUCUUAAAAAUUUAAAUUUUUUAUAUGAGCUUUUAUAAAAUUGAACAAUAUAACUCAUAUGUUCAUAAACACUGCUACUUAUUUGUAUGUACAAAGGCUUUAGGGUAUAGGGUUUGAACAAAUUAGUGUUUAUAAAAUUUAUAACUAAUGAGUUUUAUGAAAUUAAGAUUUCAAUAUCAUUUUUAUAGUGACCAAAAUUGCGAAAUCAAGACAAUUAGGGCAUUGGGUAUACGUUUGUACUUUAGGGUUUAGGGUUUUCACUUUAGGGUAUAGGGUUUUAAUUUUUGGUCUUAUCGUUUAUGGUUUUAAUUUUUAAAGCUUAUGUUUCAACGUAAAAUUAUGCACUUUAGGCUAAGGGAUCAUAAUAUUACACAUAAUAUUUGUUUUUGUUUGUUAACCAUAACAUAAUAUUACACAUUAUUUAACCGAGCAUAUAAGUACUUAAACAUUCUAUCACAUACUAGAAAUACAUAACCGACAUAACAACUUGAAAACUGUUUCAGAUGACAAGUUUUAGACGAACUUGAUUUUGUCAUUUGGCCAUGCCACAACCGAACCUAUUGCAUCAGACAUGUAUCCAUUUAUUUCCUAAUGCUUUGCAGCCAAUUGGUAAAUCUGUUAUGUACCAUGUAUAAUUUUGCAUGAUAGAAUCAAAUUCACUCCUGACAGCUUCGUUCCAAAAUGGAGCUUCUGGUGAAGCCAUGGCUUCUGCCAAAGUUUUUGGAACAUUUUUGACUAAAAAUGCCAUUAGGAAAUCUUCACCAAAAGAUUUUUCCUUUCGAGCUCUUUUGCUUCUUCGAGGUUCAUCUUUUUCUUCAUUUUCGGAAAUAUUAUUUAUAGAAAUCUCGAAGUUUAUCUUAGUUUCUGAGUUCUUGUCAUUGUCUCUUUCUUCUCGAGUUCGUUUUGAACCUUGUUUUUCUUUAUAUGGAAAAAUAUUUUCGGAAAAAAUGCAUUUCUUGAUUUCAUGACUGUUUUUUCAUGGCUGUCUGAAAUUUCAGAUUUAUGUACUAGAAAUCGAUAUGCAUUACUAUUAUCUUCAUAUCCGAUGAAAAUGCAAUCCACAGUUUUAGGUCCAAUAGUGAUCUUUUUUGGUGGCGGUACCGCAACUUUUGCCAAGCACCCCCACACUUUGAGGUAUUUAUACAAAGGUAAAUUACCUUUCCAUAAUUCAUAUGGAGUUUUUCCAGUUACUUUGUGUAGAAUUUUGUCGAGGAUAUAAUUAGUGGUGAGCAACGCUUCCCCCCCCCCCCCACUUGUUUUGGGGUAACCCAGAUUCCUGCAACAUUGUAUUCAUCAUCUCUUUUAGGGUUCGAUUUUUGCGUUCGGCAACUCCAUUAGAUUCUGGUGAGUAAGGAGCUGUAGUUUGAUCGAUUAUUUCAUGUUCUUUACAGAAUGCAUUAAAUGGACCAUCAUACUCGCCUCCUCUAUUGCUUCUAACUACUUUAAUAGUUGUUUUGAGCAGAUUUUCGACCUCGAGUUUAAAUUCUUUGAAUUUUUCUUAGGUUUCAUCUUUCCUAUGUAAUAAAUAUACAUAAUAAUAUUUUGUGCAGUCAUCUAUGAAGGUCACAAAGUACUUUUUCCCACCUCUAGUUUGUAUAUAUUUUAAAUCACAUAAAUCGGUGUGAAUUAAAUCUAGAGGUUUGUUAGUUCUUUCAACACGAGGUGAUAGCGUUUUUGUGAGCUUAGCCUUUACGCAUACUUCACAUUUUUGUUUAUUUUUUUUGCAUUUAAGAAUUAGAUUUAAAUUCAUUAAUCUUUGUAUAGAUUUGUAGUUUACAUGGCCUAAUCUUUCAUGCCAUAUAUUAAAAGACUCAACCAAAUAAGCAACUGGCUUUUUCUUAUUUAUUGAAACUUUUGGAGCUACAACUUUCGGAGGGACUGUCAUUACAUUCAUCUUGACAAGUCCAUCCUUAACAUACCCCUUUCCCAAAUACAUCUCAUUCUUCUUAAUCAGGAGCUUGUCCGCCUCAGGACUUGUGGCGAAUCCAUUCUUGCUGAGCAAGGUUCCCGAGACCAAGUUCUUCUUCAUGUCAGGCACAUGCUUCACAUUCGUCAGAAUGACUUCACGUCCAGAUGUCAUCCUCAGAAUCACAUUGCCGUGGCCUUCAAUCUUGGAGACUGCAAUGUUUCCCAUGAACAACUUCUCCUGAGUCUUGCUUUUCUGAUAAGUGCUGAACAUCGCUCUAUCAGUGCAAAUGUGGGUGGUUGCUCCUGUGUUAUGCCACCAUUCCUUGGGGUUGUUGCCUUCAAUCAUGUUGGCCUCAGUCACCAUUGCAACGAGAUCCUCCUCAGUGAGAUUCGCUUGAUGCUUCUUAUCUCUGAUCUUCCUGCGACACUCAGCAGUCUUGUGUCCAACUUUGUGGCAGUAGUGACACUUCCCCUUGAAUAUCUCCACAUUCGCAUUGAUUUCAAUGCCUUUGUUCUUGAAGUUUUAUCCAAAAGCUUUCAGGGCUUCAGCAGUUUUGGAAGGCUUGGCAAGAGAAUGGGUGUGUGCCUUUCCUUUGCCUUUGUGCUCAGCCAUGUUGACACUGUGCUCGUUAGCAGUGACCUUGUCAGCAGUUCGGUUUAUGGAUUCCAUCUAAAGCCUCAUUAUGAGCUCCUCGAGCCCUGGCCCAUCUUUUUCUUUUUGUGCUUCAAGUAGUUCUUGAAAUCAGCAUAGCUUUGAGGAAGCUUUUCAAUGAAGCUGAGAAUUGUGAAUGUCUCGCAGAUGGACAUUCCUUCAGCAGCGAUUUCAUGGCAAAUGAGCUGAAACGCUUCCACCUGAUCCAUGAUGGGUUUUGAAUCCACCAUUUUGAAGUCGUAGAAUUUUAAGACCACAUACUUUUGGCAGCCAGCAUCCUCACCUCUGUACUUCUUAUCUAGGGAUCUCCACAGCUCUUUCACACUGAGAAUGUCACAGUAGACUCGGUACAAUGGGUCAAUGAGACGACCUAAAAUGUCCAAAAAUAAUCUUAUUGGACCGGGGACCCUCCACCAAGACCCACGCUUGAGCCGAGCCGGCCGGACGGCGGCGGCACGUGCGUGACGUGGGGAGAAAUCCUAUCCCCUGAAGUCGUUUAAGCAAUGAUAGUAAAGGAACAUAUAUAUAUUGCUUCAUUUUUCUCUUGCCAGGCGACGUGGGACUUUGCUCCACUUCUUCGUUCAUUUAACUUAAGCAAACAAUGCUUUUUUAUUAAAAACCUGUAGGUCCAUUUCGUUUUCACAUUUGACCAUUUAUUAUUUAAGCCAAUAGGUUAAAUAAUUAGGUGCAACAUCAUGUGCUUUUAUGGUUGUCAUCAAUGCUUCGACCUCCAUUAUAUUACGGUUUGAAAGUAUCAGCUAGGCAUUGCCGCAUGGACCUCAGACUUUCUUGAGUCCAUUGUUUCCUUAUGGGCCUAAAGGACACUAGACCGGGUUCUCAGACCGGGUAUGUAGGCGGAGUGAAAUUCUCCAACAAUAGCCCCACCUCCCCUCCGAAGUUCGGCGUGACUCAGGUCGUCAGACAGGUUGUGGGUGUUGAUUCCGACGUGGGUGAUGUAUUUGAGACUGGUGGUCUAUGUGUUUCAAGGUCCAGUUCGAGAUUCUGGUUUGGCGAAUUAAUUACACGAUUUGGUUGAUGUAAAUCAAUGGAUUUGAUUUUCCCCCUUAGAAAGUGGUUGUAACGUGGCAAUCAUUUCUUUUUGCGGUUCCCAAUUUUCAGAAUAUAAACUUUAUGUCUUCUUUUUUGUUUGUCACUUGCAUUUGCUAGAGAAAACUGAAAAUUGUUGUUCCUAAUUUUCAGAAUGUAAACUUUAUGUCACUCUCUAUUGUGCGGCACUGUUCUUGUCCGGUUUCCUUCUUGAUUUUCCGUUUGAUUUUACUUCUUAUGUCAUAAUUGUUGUUUUCAAGUUUCACCUUUGGUAUCUUGCUCUGAUUUGCCAGAAUCGCCGUCUUCUUCGUUGAGACUUAUUGUUUUGUGAAUACGAUUGCUAGGAUUUUAUGACGCGAGUGCUUGCUCUGAUGAUCAAUUUUGUUGCUUAUCUUAUUUUUUUUGUAGCCGAGCCAGUAGAAUCUUCGUAUUUCGUAUCUGUCUUUGUUGCUAUUUUGUCAUUAUGCGUACAACUGUUACAAUCUCCAACCUUGUUCAGAAGGCGGCUGAAUCUGCCAAAGAGAGAGAGAGAGAGAGGGGAAAAGGUAAAAGCUGCUCGGGAAGCGGCAGCUCAAGAGUUUCACUUUUAAUAUGGAAGUUCGGGAGGCAGUUCCUGAAACAAUUCAUGUCAUGGUCCCUCCUUAUGAAGCCGCUAAGCUUAGUUCUUCGGCAGGGCCGGGCCUGGAUACAAACCCAUCAAGCAUUUGCUUGAGGGCCGAUCAUUAUAAAAUCGUUUUUGGGGCCAAUUUUUCUAAUAAUUAGAUAGCAGAAAUGGUGCAAGAAGCUAUCAUAUGAGACCUCUCUGUUGGUGCCCUGGGUUCAAAUGCUGAGUGGUACGAUUAUGGGCUAAUUUUUUUUUUCUGGCUUCUA